AAAAAAAAAGUAGUUUAGGUAUCAAAAUAGGAAAAAAAAGGAUAUAAUUUAAGUAUCAAUAUGUGAAUUAAGCCUAAAAUAUAUAUUGAAAUUUGUGAAAAGUAAUAAAGUGAGUUUAGAUAGAGAAUGGAUGUUGAGUUAGGUUCAUUGGGAAGCAAGACAUAAUAAAUAUUGGUAUAAUAUUAAAUUUAGCUUUCAAUAUUUAUAUUUUUUUAUCAAUUUAGUUCUUAUUCUUUUUUUAGCUCAAUUUGACCCACAACAUUUUAAAAUGAGUCACAUUAUUGUUUUUUUAAUGGAAAUAUUGACUAAAACAUUCAAUUUUAAACAUUGUAACUUACAUGACAAUCCACACAUAUAUUUAUAUUGACGUGGCAUAUAAGACAAAUAAUUUUAUGUCAGCAUAAAAUAUAUAUGGACUGCCACGCGUCCUAGCAUGCCAACAUCGCUAAAAUAUUAGUUUUUUUAGUCAACAAUUCUAUUUUUUUUUGUAAAGCAACUUGAUUCUUUUUUAAAAAUUAAUGGUCAAGGUUAACUCAAAAAAAAGAACAAAAGUUAAAUUGAUAAUAGAUGUAAACGUUAAGGGCUCAAUUUGACAUUAUGCCAUAAAUAUUUCUUUACAUGAGAGAAAUUUUUUCAGAUUUUAUUUUAAAACACAAAUAAUUUUACAACUUUUGGCCAAAAUAAAUAGGAAAUUUUAAAACUUUUGAUAACUAAAACUUUCUUGAGAAAACUCAACAUGAAACCAUUUGUUGUUUCAAUUUACUAUCAGAAUGGAAUGUUUCGAUUGGUACGUAGUACCAAAACAGUAUCAAGUACUAUAGAUUGAAGUUCUAUAUUGACACUUUAUGAUUUAGUUUUUAAAUCCGAUCAUAAUAAUAAUCUUCUCUCCUAACUAAAACAACCUUUUCGAAUAAUUUAAAAAUAAUUUUUAAUCUCCGCUCAUGAAAAUGGAAUACAUUUUAUUGUCAACCAUUUAUCUUUUCAGAAAGCAUCCACAAUUAGAAGAUUAAUCACUGCUACCGAUGAUGGAUACUGACAAGAAAAAUAAUUUUUAAUCCUGCUCACGAAAAUGGAACACAUGUUAUUGUCAUUCAUUUAACUUUUCAGAAAGUAUCCACGGUUAGAAAAUUAAUCACUGCUAUCAAUGAUGAAUACCCUGAUUAUCGCAAGAAAAAUAAUUUUUGAGAAAGAGAAAAACAUUAAGUUGAAUUUUUAAAAGUAAUAUUUUAAGUUUGAAAAAACAUUUUAUUCACAUAUAGAAAUUAGAAAAUUUCUAGUGUCGUAACCAUUUUUUUGAAAAAACGGGAUCGACUUGAUUUUGAAAACGAAAUCUAAAACGGGAGUCGCCACCGAUCUUGAUUUGGUGUGAUCGGAUCACCUUUGUUUUAAUAAAACAAUUUUAGUUUACUAAAACGGCAUUUUGGUCUACGAAAUCCAAGAGAAUAGGUUCGGGAGUCGAUUACGUGCGAGGAAGGAUUAGCACCCUCGACACGCCCAAAAAUUGGUACCGAAUUGAUUAGUUAAUGUCUUAAUGUCAAAAGUUGAAAAUCGGGAAUGGAUUUUAAAAUACGAUCCUUUUUUAUUGACGUCGAUUUUAAAAAUGCUUGAGUUAGCUCAAAAUGAUUAUUAAAGAUUUCCUUGUCUCAAGAUAUCGGAGUAUCACAUCCCGUAAGUUAGGACGCAAUACCAUGAACUCCCGAGCGCAAGUGUAUCUUCAUUUAAAUUGGGAUUCCGUGCAUUUUAAACCCAAAAGGACACUUAGCUAUUUAGAAUCAACGAGAGAGUCGAAACCCCGUAAGUUAGGGCACAAUUCUUCGAUGUUUCAAAAUGCGAAACAUUGCCUUGUUUCGAAUUUUUGUUUUUGAAAUAAUAGCGAAUACGAUAUUUAAACAACAUGUGUUAUUUAUUUAGGUUAAAAUAAAGUGAUUUAUUGGAUAAAUGUAUUGGGGUUUAAUUUGAGGCAAUGACAUGGAAUAAAGUAUAGUGCGACAUGGAACAAUUAUUCAUGCAUAAAAUAUUCCACAAGCGUAUGGCAAUAAUAUGAAUACGAGUAAGCAAAUUUACAUGCAUGCAAUAGCAAUAAUUUCACAACAUACAUUAUUUAACAUUAAGCUUAAUAAACAUAGAAACGAAGUAAUAGUAUGAAACAACUUAAAUCAAAUAAUAAGAUAAUCUUAAAUAUAAAAUAUAUAUGUAAAAGGUUUAAGAUAAGUACUAUAAAAGCAACUUAAAGUAAAUGAUAAAAAAUAAUUUAAAACCAUUAAUGCAAAGUCUAAAAUAAGUAAUACGUAAAAAAAAUUAAAAAAAAUAUACAUGGUAUAUAAAAAAGACAACUUAACAUAAAUAUUUGUAUAUAAAUAAUAAAUAAUGUAUAAAGAAUUUAAGAUAAAAACAUAGGGAAAUUCAAAAAUAAGUGAUCCAUACAAAAAGAAGUUUAAGAACAAAUAUUCUAUAAACUUAAAACAAUAAGCUAUUCAAAAAUAAUAUAUAAAAAGGUUUUAAAAUAAAUAAAUAAAAAGCAAAUGUAAAGUGAUUAACAUAUAUAUAAUAAUUCAAAAUGACUUAUGUAAAAAAAAAAGGUUUAAAAUAAAUGAUAUAUAAGGUAAUUUAAGAUAAAUAAUGAAAAUAAGUUCAAAAUGAAUAUUAUGUAGUGAGAAAUUUAAAAUAAGUAACAUACAAAACAUUUUAAAAAUAAAUGGUAUAUAAAAAAUAGAUAAUACAUAUAAAAAUUUGAAAUUGAUAAUAUAUAUGGAAAAAAAAUUAAAGUAAACAAUAAAACAAUUUAAAAUGAAUAAUACAUAAAACAAGUUUAAAAUAAAUAAUGUAUAAAGCAUUUUAAAAUUUAUAAUACACAAAGCAAAUUAAAGAAUGACAUAUAUGAAUAAUUUUAAAAUAAAUAAUAUAUAAAUUAAUUUAAAAAUAAUUAAUAAGAAGUUUAAAAUAUAUGAUACGCAAAAGAAUUAAAAAUAGACAAUAUAAUUAUAUUUUAUAAUAGUAACAGUUCAAGGGUAAUAUAAAGAGAGUCAUUUGAAAUAUAUCAUAUACAAUAACUUAAAAUAUAAAAUAAUUUGAAAUAUAUAUAUAUAUAACAAAACAAUUUUUAAAGAAUUAUAAAGAUAUAAAAAGCUUGAAAUAAACUAUAUGUAUACAUAUAUAUAAUGGGUAAGGAAUGAAGAAAUAAAUAAUACAUAUAAAAUAGAUUAAAGUGGCAUAUAUACAUAAAGUAAGUUAAAAUAAAUAAUAAGAAUUUGAAUAAAUAGUACAUUAAAAUAAGUUAGAAUAGAUAUAAAUAAACAACAUAUAAAAUAUUUGAAAUAACAUAUAAAUGAAACAAAAAAAAAGAGUUAAUAAAUGAAUUAAAUAGAUUUAGGACAUGGCUAAAAACAAAUUAAAAUUCGGGUAUAAAAGUAUAAAUAUUGGAUAGUUAAUUAGGGAUCAAAACGAAAACCAAACAAGAUCUGAGGGCCAAAUUUUAAAAAAAACAAAAGAAGAUAGAAAAUAGGGGUUAAUUGAACGAGCUUGCGAGAGAGGAGGACUAAACGCACAAAUUUCCCUUUUAGGGAAAGUGCACAGACCCCACCCCCCCAAACGACGUCAUUUCAAGGGUGAAAUAAAACCCAAAUUUCAUUCACUCUUUUUGAUCUGCCGUUCUCUUUUGUUUUCCAAGGAAAAAACAAAACACCCUCUCCCCCUUUUGUCUUUCCAACGAUCGGGCUCCCUCACCGUCCACCGUACCACCACCGUUUUCGGUGGCCGGUGACGCGCAAUAAUAGGUAUUUCAACCCCGUUUUUGGGACCCUUUGAAGGCCGAGUUUUCAGCCAAACAAUGCGGAAAUGAAAGGGUCUCUCCCUCUCUAAAUGACGCGACCCUGACGACGGAGGAGGGAUCUCCGGUGAUGAAGCCCCGACCGAUUCCGGUGAGGCCCUCUACUCCCUCCUUUUAUUUAUUUUCGUGCCCACUUUAUUUAAUAGAUUUGCAAGUAAAGAUAAAAAGAAACUAAAAUAGAUUAGCAAUGAAAUGAAAACAAAGAGAAUAGAUCGGAAAUCACCCUUUUUUAUCUGUUUUGCUCUUGAUUUUUAUUGCUAAAUGUUCGUGUCCAAAAAAAACUACAAAUGGAUGUUUCGACUCUUAUAACUGAAUUACAUAGAUUCAUUUUUUGUUUUUUUUCUUCUUGUCUACUAUUUUUUCUUCUUCGUUUCUUGUGUUUCGCGUGCUAGUUUCGUCUUGCAGGUGUCAGACGUGUGGAAGGCCGAUGGUUGGUGCCCCAAGCGGUGGUGGUGGCGCGCGUGAUGGCCAAGGGCAGAGGGGGGAGUGGCGGCUGAACUUUGGUGGCUAGGGUUAGGGUGGCUGCUGAACAAAAGUUUAAGAUAGUGGGCUGACUUGGGCUUUAGGGUUUUAGGUUAUUGGGUUUAUUUUGGGCUAAAAUCUGGGUAUUGGGUUUUAAUUAGGUUUUGUUUUAAUUUUGAGCCAUGUAUUGGACUAUUUUUUUGUUUAUUUGGUUUGGGUUCUUUUAGGCCAAAAUUGGCUAUUACAUCUAGCAUUGGAGCUAAGCCAAAUUUCUCCAAUGUCUUAAGAACAUUAAGUAGUAAUCAAAAAAAUAAGAACCUCGUGUUGAGAUAUUUAUCAAUAUUUAAAGAGUAGUGCCGGCCAAUUUACUUCUAAGUCAUUAAAAAGAAACUUCAGUCCUCCAAUCACAAUUAAACACUUCUCUACAUUUUCAUCCAUAUCAGUGAGGGGCUCUGCAUUGAUAAUGGUAAAAUUUAUUUUGGCACUCUUAAAAAUAAUAAAAAUUUAAUUUAAUCCUUUAAAAAUUAUAAAGAUAUAGGCUAUUAAAAUAGUGAAUUGUAUUUUUAAUAUCGUAAAAACAUAUAAUUUAAUUCCGGCCUCCCAAAAAGAAAUUUUGACUCCGUCCCCC
rnacentral:lncRNA from 1 species